GAUGAACGCUGGCGGCGUGCCUAAUACAUGCAAGUCGAGCGAACAGACGAGGAGCUUGCUCCUCUGACGUUAGCGGCGGAAGGGUGAGUAACACGUGGAUAACCUACCUAUAAGACUGGGAUAACUUCGGGAAACCGGAGCUAAUACCGGAUAAUAUAUUUAACCGCAUGGUUCAAUAGUGAAAGACGGUUUUGCUGUCACUUAUAGAUGGAUCCGCGCCGCAUUAGCUAGUUGGUAAGGUAACGGCUUACCAAGGCAACGAUGCGUAGCCGACCUGAGAGGGUGAUCGGCCACACUGGAACUGAGACACGGUCCAGACUCCUACGGGAGGCAGCAGUAGGGAAUCUUCCGCAAUGGGCGAAAGCCUGACGGAGCAACGCCGCGUGAGUGAUGAAGGUCUUCGGAUCGUAAAACUCUGUUAUUAGGGAAGAACAAAUGUGUAAGUAACUAUGCACGUCUUGACGGUACCUAAUCAGAAAGCCACGGCUAACUACGUG
rnacentral:rRNA from 1 species